UACGAAGGGUGCAAGCGUUACUCGGAAUUACUGGGCGUAAAGCGUGCGUAGGUGGUGAGUUAAGUCUGUCGUGAAAGCCCCGGGCUCAACCCUCGAAUGCCGGUGGAUACUGUCGGACUAGAGUGCGGAAGAGGCGAGUGGAAUUCCUGGUGUAGCGGUGAAAUGCGCAGAUAUCAGGAGGAACACCAAUUGCGAAGGCAGCUCGCUGGGACGUUACUGACGCUGAGACGCGAAAGCGUGGGGAGCAA
rnacentral:rRNA from 1 species